rnacentral:rRNA from 1 species
GCUAAUACCCCAUAUGCUUUCGAGUGAAAUGGAGAUUUCCGCCUAAAGAGAAGCUUGCGGCUGAUUAGCUUGUUGGUAAGGUAAUGGCUUACCAAGGCGACGAUCAGUAUCUGGUUUGAGAGGAUGAUCAGACACACUGGAACUGAGACACGGUCCAGACUCCUACGGGAGGCAGCAGUGGGGAAUUUUCCGCAAUGGGCGAAAGCCUGACGGAGCAAUCUCGCGUGAGGGAUGACGGCCUAUGGGUUGUAAACCUCUUUUUUCAGGGAGGAACAAAAUGACGUGUACCUGAAGAAUAAGCAUCGGCUAACUCCGUGCCAGCAGCCGCGGUAAGACGGAGGAUGCAAGUGUUAUCCGGAAUCACUGGGCGUAAAGCGUCUGUAGGUGGUUUAAUAAGUCAACUGUUAAAUCUUGAAGCUCAACUUCAAAAUCGCAGUCGAAACUAUUAGACUAGAGUAUAGUAGGGGUAAAGGGAAUUUCCAGUGGAGCGGUGAAAUGCGUAGAGAUUGGAAAGAACACCGAUGGCGAAGGCACUUUACUGGGCUAUUACUGACACUCAGAGACGAAAGCUAGGGUAGCAAAUGGGAUUAGAUA